AGCGACGCUUCCAGGAAGGUGUUAACCAUCGCGCUGCCGCAAUGUAGCGCCCGCUCGCGCGUUUACAAACAAGAACACGGAGAAGUUGAAGCGAGGCCAAUGGAUGCGCGAGCGCGUUGAAAUCGCCUGCGCGUCGCGAGGGCAGCAUUAUUAUCCAGGCGCUUUAUUUCUCGGAAGAACAAGGGAGAGGAAAGUGGAAACAGAAGAACUUCCUGAAUCUCAACGAGACAUGUCCGAGUCCCCCUCGCAGCUCAUUAUUAAGGAGAGGAGUGUUUUCAGUCCGUCUGCGAGCCCACUGCCAAAUUCCACUUCCUCUCCCGGCCAUGUCCCGCCCUCUUCAGCUAACGCCAGGACAGAAGAGGAACCAACCAGACUGCCCACACACCUGCGUGAGUCUCACACACACACACAUGAAAACACCCGGAAAUAGUGACUAACACACACACACCUCAGACAUGCUCUAUACAACAACCUGAGACACACACACACACACACACACACACUCUGACGUCACUGAACACACUCAAGCUGAGGCAGCUCCAGACCGGCCCUUCUGCCACAACACAAACCCAGAGAGAACAGCAGUUUGAUAGAGACAUAUGUUUAAACAGUAUUAUUUGUUUAUAUUAUAAUAGUAAUUAUAAUAAUAAUAAUUAUUAUUAUCAUUAUAUAUCAGUAAUAUAUAAUCAGAACCUUUUGGCCAAACUGUGCAGACUUACAUAUAAGCACAACCAGCCUCGAAUUUUAGUAGUAAUUAUUACAAUUUGUGUUUAAAUGUAUUUAAUUCAUUUUUAUUUUGUUUGUUUAUUUCUUUAAUUAUUUUAAAAUUAUAUAUAUACACACACACACACACACAUAUAUAUAUACUGUAUACAGUCAAAUCAAAAAUUAUUCAGACUCCAGAUAU
ensembl:lncRNA